AGGAUGAACGCUGGCGGCGUGCUUAACACAUGCAAGUCGAACGAUGAACCCCGCUUGCGGGGGGAUUAGUGGCGAACGGGUGAGUAACACGUGAGUAACCUGCCCUUAACUCUGGGAUAAGCCUUGGAAACGAGGUCUAAUACUGGAUAUUGACUUUUCCUCGCAUGGGGAUUGGUUGAAAGAUUUAUUGGUUUUGGAUGGACUCGCGGCCUAUCAGCUUGUUGGUGAGGUAAUGGCUCACCAAGGCGACGACGGGUAGCCGGCCUGAGAGGGUGACCGGCCACACUGGGACUGAGACACGGCCCAGACUCCUACGGGAGGCAGCAGUGGGGAAUAUUGCACAAUGGGCGAAAGCCUGAUGCAGCGACGCCGCGUGAGGGAUGACGGCCUUCGGGUUGUAAACCUCUUUCAGUAGGGAACAAGGCCAGACGUUGUCUGGUUGAGGGUACUUGCAGAAGAAGCGCCGGCUAACUACGUGCCAGC
rnacentral:rRNA from 2 species